CUUCCCAAAUUCCCCCAAAUUCCCCCAAAUUCCCCCAAAUUCCCCCAAAUUCCCCCAAAUUCCCGGGAUUGAUGGGAAAAGGCUCCGGGAGGGUUUUGGGGGGUCCCGAGCCUGAUCCCGGCCCCUUUUCCUGACAAAAAUUCCCAAAUUUUUGCAGCCCAAGCUGACCCCGCAGGAGAAGCUCCGGCUCCGGAUGCAGAAGGCGCUCAACAGGCAGUUCAAGGCCGACAAGAAGGCGGCGCAGGAGAAGAUGCUGCAGCAGGAGCACGAGAGACAGGAGCGCGAGGACGAGCUCCGCGCCAUGGCCCGCAAGAUCCGCAUGAAGUAAUUCCCGAUUUUCCUCUC